UACAGAGGGUGCGAGCGUUAAUCGGAAUUACUGGGCGUAAAGCGCGCGUAGGCGGCUUUGCAAGUCGGGUGUGAAAUCCCCAGGCUUAACCUGGGAACUGCAUUCGAGACUGCAUUGCUAGAGUAUGGGAGAGGGAAGUGGAAUUUCCGGUGUAGCGGUGAAAUGCGUAGAAUAUCAGGAGGAACACCGAUGGCGAAGGCGGAUCUCUGGGCCUUGCCUGACGCUGAGGCGCGAAAGCUAGGGGAGCGAACAGG
rnacentral:rRNA from 1 species